rnacentral:misc_RNA from 1 species
GAUGAAGAACGUAGCGAAAUGCGAUAAGUAGUGUGAAUUGCAGAAUUCAGUGAAUCAUCGAAUCUUUGAACGCACAUUGCGCCCUUUGGUAUUCCUUAGGGCAUGCCUGUUCGAGCGUCAUUUAAACCUUCAAGCUAAGCUUGGUGUUGGGUGACUGUCCGCUUCACGGCGGACUCGCCUCAAAAUUAUUGGCGGCCGGUACAUUGGCUUCGAGCGCAGCAGAAACGCGAACUCGGGCCCGUCGUAUUGGCUCCCAGAAGCUAUCUUCACAAUUUUGACCUCGGAUCAGGUAGGGAUAUCCGCUGAACUUAAGCAUAUCAAUAAGCGGAGGA